ensembl:lncRNA
AAAAAAAUAAUGCUGCGUGUAGAAAUCUCUAAGCUUUCAUCCAUUUCUAGGAAACUGGAAUGGGAGGAGCAUUCCUCCUACUCCUGAAGACAUCUGCAGUGUGGGGAUAUAGGGAAACUACUGCAGUACAAGCAUGACUUUGGCAAAUUAAAGUUUGUCAGAAUCUCAGCAAACUUUCCAUUGAUCUGGGUUCACUUAUGCUUUUGUUACAGUUCUGGGCUUCUUUCUGAUGUUUCCCUUUGGACGUGUACUUUAAAACUAUUUCAUGAACUUGAGAUGCUUGAUUGUCCGCACAGUCUCAAGAGUAAGCAAGAUAUUUCUUUCUAUGGUCGUCUUCUUCCUCCUCCUCCUGCCUCGUUUUCAACUCAGCAUCUGGCAAAGAUGGACAAACUCUGGGACGUAAAAAUUCCCUUAACUAUUUACUAUGGUAAAAAGCAUUCUUUUUUUUACCCUUGAGAGGAGCACAAAGAGACUCCCUAAAGGAAGGAAGAACUUCCUAAUGUGAAAAUAAACUACUAGAAAAUACAGCCCUGGCCCAUUUAUAAAAAGAGAACAGAUGCAGCAUGGAAGAAACAGUAAGAGAAUGCUUUUUCUUUGUCAUCCGUGGUGGUUUACCUAAGGACAUGGAAGCUAGCUUCUGGCAACACAGAUCCCUGCUGACAAAGGAGGCAUGUUCCAUCUCCCAGGUACCCAAAGCUGCUCUAGUAGAAGACGUCAGAAUCCAAAAUCUUCUGAUUCCUGACAAGUACCUCCUUUUGGUUGAAGUUGGCAAAAUGAAAGCAAAGGCUGGUCAGCACAUUUUCCAUCAUAAUCUAAGACUACGCAGAUGGAUCACAAAGAACUUCAGCAGUCAACACUACAUGCUUUAACGCGGACUAAAGCAAACUCAAGAUAAGCUUCAUCAAUAGCUGGAAGUGAACUUAAAAACAAAAAUGUUCAAAGCCAUUACGAAAUGAAAGCUACCUGUGAGGUACUGUGACACUAGAAGCUCCCAGGCUGAAUGAAAUAUGAAACUUGCUGGAAGAGUACAACACAGGUUACAUGCACCUUGCAACAGUUAUCCCACAAGGAUACAGAAAAGCUGAAAUGUUUUUUGAGAUCCAAGGGGAGGUUCAAGAAUUACAAUUAUAAAAAGCACAAGCACUUAGCGCUAACACCUCCAAACAGUAUCUCAAGUACAGGAAGGAUGGCCCCCAGACACAAGCCCUCAGAGCUGGACCUGAAGCAACAUGCUCUCAAGCUUCGUGAAGCCCGGAACCUCUCUCUGCUUCCAGCAGUGUGCAAAGACACCCUGCAGUACUAGGCUAUUAAUCAAUGCCUAAAGGCAAAACAAAAAGCUGUGUUCAGACUUCACACAGCUGCAACUUCUUCCACCUAAACCCCAGAGGUCCGAAAAUCUCUUUGAUUAGUAGGAACAAGUGUUCCACGAGUAACUAAUCCACAGAGGAGUAAGUGCGAGAGCAUCAAAGUGUCCAUAAACACUCAAAUUGCUCAGCACAGCUAGGCAUUCAGCCUUUAAAAAUGCAGCCUCACUGAGAAACUAUGCACCAUGAACAAACCAGUCACCAAGUACACCAAAGGCGAGGCAAAGAAACACAUCACUGAAACACUAUUUUGUGUUCCCACCAGUUUAACUCAUCUUCAUACAAAGACAGUAUGAAACAUAAGGUACUUUGGUUACCAUUAAAAAAGCAACACUUUAAUAUAAAACAUUAAGAAAUGGUGUCCUUAAGCUAGAUCAGGAGUCUCAUAUCCUUAAAGACUGUGUUAAGUGUGAAGCUGUCAGUAGCAUUAGUAUUCACUAACGACAAGAGGAAUUUUGUCCCAUUUAUAACAAGCUGUUAUGCUUUCCCUAUCUGUGAAAAGCCAGUGCAGUCAAGCCAUGGGAAAUAUAAGAAAAUUACUGGAAUUAGCAGGGGUGUAUACGUUUCUGUGUUUCUAGGAAGGCUGAAGUACGAGAAUUUCACAGAUGUGGGGACUUUUGAGAGCGUUCCAAUUGAAACAAACUUGCAACAAACCCUGCGGAGAGGUUCAUUCAACAGGAUGAGCUAACCAAGAAAACAGUCAUUUCUGGCUAGUUGCAUCAAUAUUAGCAGCAGCUGUGAACUCAGUAAACAGCUCUGUUUUCUGGUUGUCAAAGAGCUGCUAAAGCAGAUGUGAAACUCAUCAAAAAUAGGUCACGAGCAGAGAACAUGCAAGGGAAUGCAUCAAUACCAGAGUGAUCUGAAAAUAAGCAAUGCUGGAUUAUCUCAAUAGUGUUUAUUACCCCCAAAUUGUACCUAACACACAACGGCAACCAACAUACUCUUUAAUGUGAUUGCUAUGACAGGAUCUUCCUCAUAGCACACUGGGUGAAUAAGGGUGUGGUGUUUUCAGCAGCUGAAGUACCAGAAAGAAGAAAAGGUACUGAAUUGCUCUCUGCUUACUUCUGAAUGAGGUUUUCUGAGGCAGGUUUUCAUGCCUGUCCUUCUUCUCAAACUCUAAUCAUCUCAGAUUGAGGUAUCACAAUAAGCCAAACACAGAAUUCGCCACAGCUUAUUUUACUUUUGCCACUACAAACAGAUUACAAGUACACUCUGUCCGAUAGGCAACCCUCCAGCAACAGCCAUUCCUCCACGGGCAGGAAUCGUGGCCAACACAGCAAUGACCUUCCCCCCUCGUGGCCCACAGGACCCACUUCCUCAGAAUUCCCCCAUAUGGAAAUUCACUUGGAUCUACUUCUAGGACUCUCACAGUAUGUAAAACACUUAACUUUCUUUACUGUCAAGAAUAUAAAGGCAGAAGGCUUAGCUCUAAAGGAAGCAGGCUAAGAAAAAAAAAUGGCGUGCUUCUUCUACAGUGGGACUAAACAAGGAACCUGUAUGUCCUGCUAUUGCUGCACCGAAUCUCCAUGGCCAUCCUUCACAGUGCAGGUGUGAGGCUGCCUUUGGCCAAAUGCCUUCAACAAGCUGAGUUGAAGCCCCAUAGCCUGAAGCAGACAAGUACUUCCCCAGUCAGUCAGUUACUGGGUGAGGACAGACACUCUCUUCUCUGGUUGUUUCCACUUCCACUACAAUGGCAGAAUUUACCUCCAACACCUAAUGACAUCAUAUAAUAAAACACUAGUAAGGAGGAGCUAGUCAAACCAACAAACAGAAAAGCCACUGUUAGUCUGAAAGUUAAUGUCAUGUUCAACUGGGAGAAAACAGGUCUUCGGGAAGCAUUCAGAAAAAAUACUCCUUCAUUUAAGUAGCAGCAGCUCAGAAUAAAGCACUGAAAAAAUAGAAACCGUGAAGAGGCUUCAGUUUAUUGAUGUUCCAAACCAGCUUUCCAGAAUUUCAGAAGAGAGGGAGGAGAGAGGGGGGAAAAGAGUUCACAUCCAACUUAAAAGAAAUCCCAUGACUUAUCUCAGUCGGAAGCCUUUGCUGAGCCAAAUGUAUGUGCAUUUUAGCACACAUUUCCUAUACCACAGAACCUAGGGUGAAACAUGGUUGUUGAUUACCAUAUUAAAAC